UAGAUUUUUUUUUUUUGAGAUGGUAUCUCCCUCUGUCACCUAGGUUGGAGUGCAAUGGCACGAUGUCAGCUCACUGCGACCUCUGCCUCCCAGGUUCAAGUGAUUCUCCUGCCUCAGCCUCCUGGUAGCUGGGAUUACAGGCGCUUGUCACAACGCCCAGCUAAUUUUUGUAUUUUUAGUAGAGAUGAGCUUCGCCAUGUUGGCCAGGCUGGUCUCGAGCUCCUGACCUCAGGUGAUCUGCCUGCCUCGGCCUCCCAAAGUGCUGGGAUAACAGGUGUGAGCCACCGCACCCAACCCCAUUUUAGAUCCUGAGCACUGGGUUUCUCCAGGAUUUCAUGGGGUGGAGGAAAGCAAUAAUUACAUUGCCAGGUGCCCUAUCCAUUUCCUAAGACUUCAAGAUCCUUGUCUGUUUUUACUUUCAUCAUGAACUUCAACCUGGAUAUUUUUAUUUUCCCAGAUUAUUCUUAAAUUGUUUGGUCUCCUAAUAGUUUUCACUUCUGAAAGCUUUAUUCUCUAUUCAUCUUUGCUACUGUAGUAUUAUUCUUGCUUUUACAGUUAUUCUGACAUCUUGAUGGUGUUUGAAAAAUAUGAUGAAGUGUCAUCAAGGACUCAAUUUUCCAUCUUAAAUCAAAAGAGUGUCCAAUGGAUUUAUAUAUUUUCUAAACAAUUUAGUUGAUUGACCUAUAUGUGGAGACACAGAUAGAUAUUAUUUAAUAGGCAGGGAAGGUACAUUGAUAUAACAUGAAUACUUGGCUGUGUACAACUUCUCAGAGAAGUAAUGCAUUUACUUUUAACCACGAAGUUGGUUUCUCUAUUGUCAGAAAGAAAGAACAUCAAAACAGCCAAGACACCUGCUGUGGAAAUGUCUCUUUCAUUGAUCUCUGAAAUCUCUAUUUUAUGCUGACUUUCAUAAGAAGUAUCUAAUCUUCCAUACUCGUUCACCUGGGAAGCUGGGAUGUUAACUGCCAAAAACCUUAAGUGUUUCCUCUCUUUCCAACUGGAGUAAUGGUAACUCAGUGACAAAAUGAUGGACAGGGUGACUAAGUUCCUUGGCCCAUCUCUAUCUGCACCUUGGGAAUGAUCAUAUUGACUCCCCCACUUUUUUUUCAGUGAUUCUGUCAAGAAAACUGUAAGAAAAGGUCUCCAACAUCCUAGGAACAGAGAGAUAUAAUCAAUUUAAGGUAUUCUACACAU
rnacentral:lncRNA from 10 species